AAACCAGCAAGACAGACUAUUUCAACUCCAAAAGCAUUGAGUUCAACAUUCAUUGCUGCAUCGAAUGCGUCUCGAUUAGGAUAAUCCGUAUGUUUAAUAACCUAUGGUCACAUAUUGAAAUGAUAUACGGAUGAAAGCUCGUUUAAGUCCUUCAACGUUUGAUUUAUUAGAUAUUACUAUAACAAUUUCUGCACCAAUAUGUUGAGAUCGAUCUUUAGUUGCAUCAAUUAGUGAUUGUAAAUUGGUUCCGCUACCGGAUAUCAAAACACCCACUUUUUUUAAAGGCUUACUUAAUUGUGAAAUUAUAUCUGGUAUGUAUUGUCUCAUUUUCAAUUCUAACGCUUCCUCAAAAUUUUUAACGUGUAUUCUAGUGUGAUUUUCUGUAAUAUUUAAUGUGUAUAAAUAUAAAUAAAAUUAUUUUUAAUAAAAUAGUUUUAAAUGGA